rnacentral:rRNA from 1 species
UACGGAGGGGGUUAGCGUUGUUCGGAAUUACUGGGCUUAAAGGGUGCGUAGGCUGCACGGAAAGUUGGGUGUGAAAGCCCUCAGCUCAACUGAGGAAUUGCAUCCAAAACUGCCGUGCUUGAGGGAGACAGAGGUGAGCGGAACUCAAGGUGGAGCGGUGAAAUGCGUUGAUAUCUUGAGGAACACCGGUGGCGAAAGCGGCUCACUGGGUCUCUUCUGACGCUGAGGCACGAAAGCUAAGGUAGCAAACGGG